rnacentral:rRNA from 1 species
UACGUAGGGGGCAAGCGUUGUCCGGAUUUAUUGGGCGUAAAGAGCGUGUAGGCGGCCAGGUAGGUCCGUUGUGAAAACUCGAGGCUCAACCUCGAGACGCCGGUGGAAACCGUAAGGCUAGAGUCCGGAAGAGGAGAGUGGAAUUCCUGGUGUAGCGGUGAAAUGCGCAGAUAUCAGGAGGAACACCCGUGGCGAAAGCGGCUCUCUGGGACGGUACUGACGCUGAGACGCGAAAGCGUGGGAGCAAACAGG